UGGGGAAUAUUGCACAAUGGGCGCAAGCCUGAUGCAGCCAUGCCGCGUGUAUGAAGAAGGCCUUCGGGUUGUAAAGUACUUUCAGCGGGGAGGAAGGGAGUAAAGUUAAUACCUUUGCUCAUUGACGUUACCCGCAGAAGAAGCACCGGCUAACUCCGUGCCAGCAGCCGCGGUAAUACGGAGGGUGCAAGCGUUAAUCGGAAUUACUGGGCGUAAAGCGCACGCAGGCGGUUUGUUAAGUCAGAUGUGAAAUCCCCGGGCUCAACCUGGGAACUGCAUCUGAUACUGGCAAGCUUGAGUCUCGUAGAGGGGGGUAGAAUUCCAGGUGUAGCGGUGAAAUGCGUAGAGAUCUGGAGGAAUACCGGUGGCGAAGGCGGCCCCCUGGAUGAAGACUGACGCUCAGGUGCGAAAGCGUGGGGAGCAAACAGG
rnacentral:rRNA from 1 species